rnacentral:rRNA from 1 species
CACGUAGGGUGCGAGCGUUGUCCGGAAUUAUUGGGCGUAAAGAGCUCGUAGGCGGUUUGUCGCGUCGGCCGUGAAAACCUGCAGCUUAACUGUGGGCUUGCGGUCGAUACGGGCAUCACUGGAGUUCGGCAGGGGAGACUGGAAUUCCUGGUGUAGCGGUGAAAUGCGCAGAUAUCAGGAGGAACACCGGUGGCGAAGGCGGUUCUCUGGGCCUUACCUGACGCUGAGGCACGAAGGCCAGGGGAGCAAACGGG